rnacentral:lncRNA from 1 species
GGAGAAGGAGAAAAAACUGCGGAAAAGGGAAAGGAAGAAGGGCUCUGUAGGUGAAACACAGAACGAAACUAAUGAUGGUGAAACUGCUUUGAUUUCCACCAGCCUAAGAGAAACUGUCAAGGAUCCUGAGGCUACUGAGAAUCCUCAAACAAUCACUAGGAGAAAACAGAAAUCGUCUCAAUAUACAAAACAAAUGAAGACUAAAUCCAUUCCUCCCCCGCCUCGCAUCAAAGGUAAAAGGAAAUGGCAGCAGUGGCUUUGGUUAUUUCUUUCUUGCGCAGUCGUCAUUGCUCUGUUCUUCCUAGGAAACAUUGGCUUCUUCUCCCAUCUGAAGCCUCCAAAAAACCCUGGAUAUUAGGGUCAUUACCUUGUUAGAUUUGGCUUGGAGUGAAGACGACAGGUUUGUUUUAUAUCUUACAGAUGAAGAGAGGAGAGACCAUUCUUUCGUUCUAUAUAUAUACAUAACAUAAUAUGUUGGUUCAUCAUAGUUUUGAACAUUUUGGUUCUUAGUAGAGUGAUCAGAUGUUUUUAAGCAACAUAGAACAUAAUAUUGGUAUUUAUUACUUUACUACAAAAAAAAAAAUACAGAUACUUAAUAAUCCUAUUGUUAUUGUGUUUAAUGGUAAAGUAUUAUCCAAUAUGUAGUCGAGCGUCGACUAGUUUUUCAAUAUUAUUAUUAUCGGUUGUUUCCUUUGUUUAAGUUACCAUGGUGUUUGUUGUUGCUAUUAUUAUGCUUUACUGAGGGUGUAUCGGAAGCAACUUCUCUAUCUUCACAAGGUAGCGGCAAGGGUUCCGUACACAAUAUACGAUAUCUUCUCUAGACCCCACUUGUGGAAUUACACUGUAGGGUAGCUGUUGUUUUUACCAUUCAAUGAUACUGGUUAAAAAUCACUUCUCUUUAUUUUAUUGCCCCCCUUCGCCCAAUGUGUUAUAGUAAUAUAUUCCUAAUUAUAAAAUGGCUUAAUAGCUUGAUAAACUUGCACACAUUUUGUCUAGCUUAGUCAUAUUAAUACCACGUAAGCUCGAUCAACGGUUAGACAUGUUUUAGAAACUUGUUUUGAUCUAGUUGACGUGUUUGGAUGAAAAUUUAGAAUAGGAGAGUCGGGAUGUGAAAAUGGUACCAAUACAUAGAUCUCCGUAGUUGGGAUUAGUCAUAACUAUCACCGAAUGAUCUUAGUACAUAUGGUGCAAGACGAUCAGAAGUGGCUAAAGUCUCCCUUGAUGGUAGCGUACAUUGCGUUCAAAGGUCUCUCGAACAUUCAAGUUAAGACGUAGCUAAAGUCUUCCUAGCGUAUAUUACACUCAGAGGUCUCUCGAGCCUCCUAUUGUACCCGAACUCCCUCGUCAAAAAAUUACACUGUAUAUAUAGCAUCAAAUUUUGAUUUUAUGUGUAUAUAUAUUAAAAUGAACCCCCUGAGAACAAAUGACAGACUUGGCUCAAUGGAUAAGUGGUUCAUGUAAUGCCCCUAUGUCACGGGUUCAAGUUCGAUUGGCAACAUUUUUUCCCCUUUUUAAUAUUAGCUUUGAAAAAUGGAACUUUUGGGCUUAUUAGACCUUCUUCUUCUUUUUCAUUAUUUUUUCCUUUUAUUCCAUUUCUUCUUUUUAAUUUAUUUUUGUUUAAAUUUAUUAGACACAUUCUUUUUAUUUUUAUAUUUUAUUCUUUUUAUAUCUAUUAUUCAUAUUGUUUCAACGUAACUCUUUUUUCAUAUACGUUUGAAUAACUUUUAAAUAAAAAUGUUGAAUUAUAUUUAACUUGAAAUUGAGAUAGAAAUAUAGUUUAUUUUUUAAAAAAAUGUAAAUUAGAUGUAAUUAAUGAAGAAACUUAAAUAUCGUCAACGUCCUUUUAAAAAUAUUAAUUUAAUAGAAUUCAUGAAAUUUCUUUUAUAUUUUUAAUUCUAUUUUAGUGAAAUGAAAACUAAACUUAUUUAAUUUAUUCGUUAUUUGUUUUUUUUUUUUACAAAGUAUGACUAACCUAGUAAAUUGAACUAUAUGAACUAAAAAAAUUGACGAUGCUAUUUAUUUAUAUUACUAAUAUGCAUUAUAAUAUUAGUAACUCUAUUCUUACACACUUUUAGAGAAUCUUGAUGAUUUUCAUAGUAAUAUUUGAUUGAAUGGAUAUUAAUUUAAAAAAUUUAAAAAGUGAAAUAUAAAGUAAACAUUACAAAAUAAAAGUAUAAAAAGCACAAGAAAUUUUAAGAAUGCUCGAUGGAGCAUGAUAAAAGUAAAAAGAAAUGUUUAAUACGGUAUGAUAAAGUGAGUUAAAUUUAGCAUGAUAAGGUAAAUAUCUUUCUUCCCCAUCUCGCUCCCUUUUUCAUCAUUUAAUUUUCAUGUGUUUUAGGAAUUAACUUAUGUAAUACAAUCGAUCCACUAAAAUUUUUAUCAAUGCAUCUUUGUCCUCAAUAUAUUUGAUUAGCUUAGUCUUUACUUUUAUGAAUCAAUGAAAUAUCUAUGGUUCUUGUAUAAAGAGCAUGCCGAGGGGCUACUACGCUCACCGCGUUCUUGCAUUACCACCUAAACUUCUUCUUUAUAGUUCGAUCCUCCUGAGCAAAAAUCCUGGGUCUGCUUUGUACUUAUCUAAUAAUAUUCAAACAAAAUACUCUUUUCGGCCUAAUCAAUCUAUCUAUAUCAUACUAUACUGAAUAUGGGACCAUGCCUACCCCUAGCUGAAAUCAAUACAUACAAGUUACAACCAAUAAUUUUGCUUAUUCAGUGAUAAAAGAUAUUACAUUGUCUAUUGACUCUUUCAUUUUUCAUUUUUCAUUUUUCAUUUUUUGGGUAAUAAAUGCCACCUUCAUUCUGAUGAACAUGGACACCCAAUAAUAUUAUCUAGGACAAUCUUUAUGGUACACAAUUAUGAAUAAAAAAAUGCAAGAUUUUGAAAUGAAGAGAAGUUGACAUAAAGAAGAAUACAAAGCACAAAUCACAGAGAUUCACACUUUUUUUUUUAAAUACUAUAAGAUCACUUAACAGCAAAUUCCUUAUUUUUUUAUUAUAAAAUCAUUUUACAGCAAAUCACUUGUCAAUAUAUAAUAAUCAACUUGGCAUCUUCAUACCAUUAAUGGAGCAGAUUGUGUCGUUUUUUGUGAAAAUCCACGUGCAUUUAGAUUCUUUUCAAUUUUUGAUAUUUUAUAUUAUACAUAUACUUUUAGAAAAUAAAAGUUUCUUUGUAAACAAUUCUUUUUUUUUGCUCUACUCACACAAGAAAAAACAUUUUUCUAAUUUUCAAUAAACCAUCGUAUUCUUUAAAAAAAAGUAAAAAUAAUUUCAAAAUAUUUCUACUAAUUAACAUAUUUUCCUCCUUAUCAAACACACUCUUUAUACAAAUUUAAAGUUAUUAUUAUUUUAUUAUUUUCUUAUUCGAUAUUUAAUAUCUAUACUAAAAUUUCAACAAAAUCCAAAUUGCGUACGACAAGAUGCAUUAUUUGUGGUGGCGCUAGCUCCCAAAGUUAUUAAAUAUUACCCAUGCUUUUGUUUGGUCUUUUAUGACAGUUAGGACUUAGGUGGGCAUUUAUAUAUUCCUCAAAAAAAUCAUAACAAACAUAGAAAAAUAUGUACAUUUUUUUUUAUAUAAGCAAACAUAUUAGUAUUAUUUUUAGUGGGGACUUUGCUUUCUGUCCUUUUCACUUCUUAUAAUUUCUUUGUGUUAGUUUGUCCAAGCAACUAAUCAAAGUAAACUAUGAGAAAUUAUAUGGAAGCAGAAUCCUCAACUGGUUCUUAUCAUCUCCUUGUUGAAAAUGAAAACAAAAUUACUUCUUCAAAUGAUGAUUCUAGACUUAAAGAAUUGGGUUACAAGCAAGAACUCUAUCGUGGUCUUUCGUAAGUCAUUCUUUCUUUCUUUCUUUCUUUUUCGUUCAUCUAUUUAAUUUAUCGAGGAUAUGAUGUUUUUAGAUGGCAGGUUAUGGAGACACAUAUUAGGGUAGAUUGUUCAGUGUUGUCUCGCUUACUCUUGUAGUUUCUUGUCCAUUGAGUAUGGUCAUUUUUGUGGGUUUUUGACACUUUGAAUAUCGUUGUAUCUUGUUAUGACUAUUGUUUAGGAUUAUUUGACAGGUUGUUUAUAGUAUUUUGCUAUGAGUCUUCGUUUCCGUUAUUUUUUUCUCAAUACUACCUUUGGGACUGUUUUUUCCUGAAAACAACCUCUCUAGCUACUUCCAAGGUAGUGAUAUAUUAUUGGUAAGACCUGCAUACACUCUACCCUCCCCCAAAUCCUUUGGGAUUACACGAGAUAUGUUGUUGGUUAUAAAUUUUAAUUCAUCAUUUUCACUCCCAAUAUAUAUAUACAUAUAAGCUCAAGUAGAUUGAAUAUUAUGAGUUCGAGUUCAGAAUUUCUAUCACAACAUAUAAGAUCUAUUAUUUAACAUGCUAUGAUGGUACAUAGGGUUUGAACCAAAGCUUCUAGAUUCGGAUUAUAUAUCAUGUAAUCUGACUGAUUAUUCGUGUAAAGAUCCUAACUCACAUGUUUCUUUUGUUUUGGGCUUUAUGAACAGGUUCAUUUCAAACUUUUCUUUGACAUUCUCCAUUGUAUCAGUUCUUACUGGUAUAUCAACAUUGUAUAAUCAGGCCCUAACUUUUGGUGGGCCUGUUACUAUUGUUUGUGGAUGGCCCAUAAUUGGGUUAAUGACACUUAUUGUGGGCCUUUCUAUGGCUGAAAUAUGUUCUGCUUAUCCAACUGCUGCUGGGCUUUAUUAUUGGAGUGCUAAAUUGGCUGGAAACAAGAUUGGCCCAUUUGCUGCUUGGAUUACUGGCUGGUAUGGGCCCAUUUCCUUCUCCUCUCUAAUCGAUGUUCAUUUCACAUUUUCUAUUUUCAUAUUUUUUAGUAAUAAAUUUGAGAAGAUAGGAAGGUACGGAGGUCGAGGGAGGGUAGAAGGGUAGUAGGUAGUAGAGUGUUAUCGGAUUUUCACAUGGGAGAGGAGGGGGCUAGUCUCAUCUUCUCAUUGUUUAUAAUAGUUGUUUGCAACAAAUUUCAAAGUGACAGAAAAUAAAUUGCAAUCACAAAUAAAAUAUGAAGAAACAUAAUUUUAUUGAUAAAUAUAUUAUGAUUCUUCUUUCAUAAGAUAUUUAUCCAUGAUUUGAGGGCUGUUUGUGGCAUAUUUCUCGAAUUAAGAUGAUUUGAAUUUGAUCUCAUUAGGAAUGUUUCAUGAAUUUGUGGAAUAUUCGAGUUGUCUCUUUAAGAGAAUAUGGUACCCUUUAUAUAGGCAUGAACUAGGGUUUAUGAUUGAGUUGCCUCCAAGUACCUUAUUUGGAAAUUGAACACGUCUUGUAGAGUCCAAUUAGAACUGAACAUGUCUUAUAGAGUCCCACAAAUUUUCAAUAUCUACAAUAGUAUUAUUUGGUAUUCGCGUUGUAUCUUAUUCUUUAGUAGUUUUUACUACUAUUUGUUGCCUUAUUUGCUUUGUAUAUCUUGCUAUUUUGUUGUCGUUAUUUUUUUUUCUAAUCCUGAUGCUUUGAUUUUUAGCUGGUGGAUUAUCAGGGGUGUGUGUGUUGAGGGGGGUGGUAAUGUCUGUAUACAUUCUAUUCUCUCGAGACCCCAUUUUCAACUUUUGUCAUUGAAAAAUAGACAAUGUCAUGGAGUUUGACAUUCCAUAGGAACUCCAUCACAUAACACUAGUGAAAUUUGAAAUUUCAUAACAGUGACUAUUUUUCAAAGAUAGAAUUCAAAAGUGACCUCCAGACACUAUUUCAUCUAUUUUUAAAAUGCUUGGUACGUAGUAAAAAAUUGAUAAUUUGCAUGGAAUUAUGCAAAUUGUGGAGUUUCACCCGUGAAAUUCGAAACUCUAUACUAAUAGCUAUUUUUUCAAUUUUCAUAUAUAUUUUUAAAUGGUCAGUAUGUAGUAAACAAUUGAUAGUUCGUGUAAGAAUUGUGCAUGAGUAUGAAAUAUUUAUGUUCAUCCUAAUUAAUCAAAACACAAAAUUAGAUAGAUAGUAUUAGUUGAUUUAAUCUUGUAUUUAACCUCUCAAUUAUAUUAACUUGAACUAAAAUUAAUAUCAUUUGGUAAAUAUAGUAAUCAAGCCUAGGGACAUGGAUGGUAAAAGUAAAACCAUUAACAUGUUAGCUUGGCUAUAUUGAUUGAAAUGUUUUAGGGACCACCAGAGGAUGCGGUGGGAUCUCUCUGUCCUUAGUCAGAAAUUUUGAGUUCAAUCGAGCUCGAGAAAUAUUUGUUUUGUUGAUAAAGAGCGAUUAUAUUGAUCUUAAUGGCUUCGUAUGUGGUGCAAAUUUGUAUUAUUUGAGCGAUUGCGACAUAGUUUACAGUAAUAGUGUGAGCUAAUGAUCACUUUUCGGUCUUGUAAUUGAAAAAUAGUUAUUAUCAUGAAGUUUUAUUUGUUGAAUUUAAAACCUCACGAUAAUGACUAUUUUUUCAAUUACAAAAGCUGAAAAGUGAUUAUUCGUCUAGAUAAAUAAUUUUUGCCAUUUGAUAACAUAUUUAAAUUAGUUGUUGUCUCACCUUAAAGAUGUGUCCUAGAGGAAAGGUUACUAAUAUAAUAUCAUAAAGUACACAUAUAUAUAAUUCCAAAUUAAUUAUGUAGAAUCGACAAUCUAUAGCUUUCACAUUUUAUAUGAUAAUGACUUUUAAAGUAAAAAAUUUAAUGUCAUUUUAAGAUAGUGGUUGUUUGCUAAAUACUUUGAUAUUUCAUUGAUUACUCAUGUUUUUUGAGGUACAAAAAUUGUGAAAGGACCAAACAAAUAGAUUAGUGUAGACACGUUUGGACGGUAGAUAUCUUUUUUGUUCUCAUUGAUUUUUUUUGUUUUGUUUUUGCUUUCGAGGUGUUAUUAGUCUCACCAUGUGAAAAUGAGACGAAACUGUCUACUUUUGUGUUCGAAUUAUUAUCCAAUCACCUGAAUAUAUUGAUACAAUAUGUGAAAAGGAGACAAAACUGUACACUUUUGUGUUCAGAUCGUUGUCCAAUCAACUGAUAAUGUUGAUUCAAUCAACUUAACAGUUUCAAAUUUGAAUCAUGAAUAUAUAUAUAAUUUUUUUUUUAUUACGAAACAUUUCUCCCUUCGAAAUAUGAGAAAAUAGAAAAAGAUAUCACUAGCAUGUCAAAAAACCUUUCUUUUGGACAUAAAAAAACAUGCAUUUUUUGUGGUUCAUUCAUUUUAAAAAUAUCUAACACAUGGUACCACUAGUACUUCUUUUGGGGUUUAGCCACAAAGAGAAUGAUAUGAAAUAUUGACUUUAUGGUAUUAAUUCAUAGGAGUACUAAACUAUAGUCAGAUGGUUGGAUUUUCUUUAACUAAAAAGAAAAUAGAAUUUUGAUAUAUUUAUAUGAUGAUUAUGAUAUAUUUAUUAGUUGAGAUAUAGUCCAAGAGAAAUAUUAUAUAAGGUUCAUAGAAAAGAAAUAGUACAAAGCACAAAAUAACAAAUAACAACAUAUAUCAAAAGUCAAAAAACUACUGUUAAUACUAAGAAAGGAGAAAUAAACAUAGUGUAUCAAUUUGAUUUGAUUAUUUUUUUAAAUUAUGAUUAUAAGGAGAAACAUAUGUAGUGUAUCAAUUUGAUUUGAUUUUAUGAUUAUAAAACAUAUAUUUAAAUAUAAUUUUGCACGUGUCAUUGAAUAAAAUAAUAUUAGAAACAGCCGUCCCUCUUGACUUUUCCACAUGCCAACAACCUCCAAUUGAGAAUUUAAUAUCAUUGGUAUCUUUUGCAUUAUUUAAAAAAGAUUCAUAGUUAUGUAUGUUGAUAAAGGUAUUUCAAUAUUCUUAUAAUCACAUGGAUAUUAUGAUAUAUUUAAAAAUAUAGAUAAAAUGAUUUUAUAGAAAAAAAAAAUAUCUUACAAAAAUCUUAUUAUUUUAUUUAUAAAUUUUUGUAUUCUAGUUUUUUUAUUGAUAUCUAAUGAAAAAUGUAAUAUAUGUAACAAAAAUAUCGUUUAUGAUAAGUUACGUAUACAAUCUCUCCUCUUAGACUUUGCACUACGAGACAACUGAGCAACUUGUCUUGUCUUGUGCUGACCUCAUUUUUCGUAAUAAGAAUGAAGUAAUAUCGUAGUUUGAUUCGAUAUUUAAAAUUUCUUACGACUCACACUAAUAAAGACAUUAAAGAAUUGGAGAUUGAUUAAAAAAAUUGGCCCAAAUAACUCUCUCCUCUCUCCUCUGUCCUAUCUCGCAUCAAUAGUGAUUCUCCCACAUCAACACGACAUUGAGCGGACCAUAAAUUGAUUGAACAAGCAACCCAUCCAAUUAUCCCUAACAAUUCUACUCGUAUUAGUAGCUUGAGAUAUAUAAAAAAAGAAAUAAUCUGAUGCACAAAACAUUUCAUGCCAGUAGGUUCGGAGAAAAACCGAACCCUAAAGGGUGUGAUGAUGACUUCCGAUGAAGGACCACAUCUCAAGGAAUGUGACGUAGACGAUUGCUGCAAGCACCACGGUUAUGUAGAUGACUAAUGCAAACAUUAAUAACUAUUUCUACUACUCAAAUUCGUAACUUAUAGGUCACACAGAGACAAGUUAACCGUUAUUAAUCUAUUCAUUCUUUGAAAUCAAAGACAACUAGGACUUAAAAGAAUAUUCAUCAUAUUUAGUAAUACUAUAAAAUCCCAACUUCCAAUAAUUCAGAUUUUUCUAAUAUUGCAAUUUGCAUAUGCAAUUAUGAGCUUUUUAUUACUAAUAUAAAAAUACAGUCCCCAUGUGUCUCUAGGACUCUUUUAUCUGUCAACAUAUGGCCUUCAAAAGUUCAAAUCUUUGCCUAUUAAUUCACACUACCUUCCAAUUGCUUUCUUUAACCAUACUCUGUUCUUUUCACUCCACAAAACUCCAUUAAAAUACCACCAAAAAAC